CCAGGGCAGAAAUGAAAGAUUAUGAGUAUGCUACAUUUCUAUAGCUCUUUCAUUUUUUUCCCCAACCCUAGCUUACUUUCAUGUCUGCAAUAAAAAUUUUGAUCCAGGUCGGAUUUAUGUGAACAUUAUUUUUUUUUUCAGAUUGACCUACCCCGUGACUGAAUUUUGCAAUGAAUCCUUAUCAGGUUGUUAUACACCAUUGCAACUGGGCACCUUAAAAUUAGAUGGAAAGAACAGAGGAUGUUGCCAGAGGAUGUGCUGACUGGAUAAAAAGACCAAACAUUUCUGCGACCCAAAGAUUGUUUGUGGGCCACCAAAUGUUCUACUGUUACUGGAAGAAGGAGUUAUCGUUGCGAAUGGAUGAAGAAAUGUAGCAGACACAUGGAAGCUGCCCAGAGAAGCUAUAGGCCCUUCACGGGGCCCAAGACACACUUGCUGAUAUUUGCUGGAAGUCCAGUGGAAAUCUGCUGGGGUCCUGAAAUGGAGCAAGGCUUGAGGAGAGCUGUUUACCUGGAGUGAGUGUCUUUCUUUAUUCUCUAAAGUUUCAACUCUUUGACUUCCAAGAACAUCUGAUU
rnacentral:lncRNA from 1 species